ACUUGGAGAACGUAGUAAACCAAAGGCCAAGCUGAUGCCAAGCUUCAGUGUAAAACUUUGAGCAGGUGCCAGAGAAACCAUCCUUGUUAAAGAUGUGACAUUAAUCCCUCCAAACCUACAAAACACAACUGAUUAGAAAUUAGCCUGUGAGAUCAAGACAUUGCAAGAUGCAGAAAUAUCCACCAGAUACCAAAUGCCACACCAAAGCAGACAUUUCAAAUGUUAAGGGACCUAUGAAUACAGCUUCAUCCUUCAUUGCAAUGGACUUUGAAACAACUGAUUGAUUAGGCAAGAUGUUAUCUGUCAUAUCAAAGAGAUAGAAUAUGAAACUGUCAGCCAGUAUUGAUAUAAUGAGGUACUAAAAGCUCCAAUACCAUUAGGGGCUGAAGACAUACAAUGUAACAGGAAUUGUGUGGGGUUUGACCAACCUUAGACUAAAGAGAAAACUUGUUGCUGCAUUACAGAUAUUUUGAACUCAGCAAUUUUUAUGAUUGUUUUUAAUGUUAAUUCUCUCUCUUAUGAAUAAUAUGAUAUCUAUAUUUGCAAUGUACAUGAAUUGAAAGUUACUCAUGUCUGUAAAACUGUUUUCCCUUGACAUUGACUACAUUUCAUAGAUCAGUGAAAAAAGUUAUGUACCCAUGGUCAAGUCCAUGUAUCAGAUUCAAAAAGCAAUAGGUCUGCUUAAUUUGGUAAACUGUAUGGUUGAUCCUGAUCUCAUUUUCAUGGUUUAUUGAUCAAUGCUAAUAUUCAAAAGAUUUAAUAUUGAUUGUACAUUGUAUCUAUAGAUAUGAUAAUAUUUAUUUGUAUCCUUUGAACCAUCAUGACCAUGUUAUACUUUCAUGAUAAUAUACAAAUAAAUAUUGAAAUGU